GAUUCCCCAUUUCUUUGCAUGCCUCGACUUCUUCUCUGAUUCUUCUAGCAGCCUCAAGUUCUUUUUGUUUGUCCUCUUCCUUCCACUUGAGCUCGAGCUCCAUAUUGUUGCAUUUAGACUACAACUCAUAUGCUCUUUGCUUGUACCAUUUCGUUUUACAUUUUGCCUUGGCUAGAGCCUCUCAAUACUCGUCCAUAUUUUGUUGCACUUCUUGCAAAUGCGAGACUUAUUCUUUCAAAUGGGGGACUUGAUCUU
rnacentral:lncRNA from 1 species